rnacentral:rRNA from 1 species
AUGAACGCUGGCGGCGUGCCUAAUACCUGCAAGUCGAGCGAACAGAUGAGGAGCUUGCUCCUCUGACGUUAGCGGCGGACGGGUGAGUAACACGUGGAUAACCUACCUAUAAGACUGGGAUAACUUCGGGAAACCGGAGCUAAUACCGGAUAAUAUAUUGAACCGCAUGGUUCAAUAGUGAAAGACGGUUUUGCUGUCACUUAUAGAUGGAUCCGCGCCGCAUUAGCUAGUUGGUAAGGUAACGGCUUACCAAGGCAACGAUGCGUAGCCGACCUGAGAGGGUGAUCGGCCACACUGGAACUGAGACACGGUCAAGACUCCUACGGGAGGCAGCAGUAGGGAAUCUUCCGCAAUGGGCGAAAGCUUGACGGAGCAACGCCGCGUGAGUGAUGAAGGUCUUCGGAUCGUAAAACUCUGUUAUUAGGGAAGAACAAAUGUGUAAGUAACUAUGCACGUCUUGACGGUACCUAAUCAGAAAGCCACGGCUAACUACGUG